CCUACGGGAGGCAGCAGUGAGGAAUAUUGGUCAAUGGGCGCGAGCCUGAACCAGCCAAGUAGCGUGAAGGAUGACUGCCCUACGGGUUGUAAACUUCUUUUAUAAAGGAAUAAAGUGAGGCACGUGUGCCUUUUUGCAUGUACUUUAUGCAUAAGGAUCGGCUAACUCCGUGCCAGCAGCCGCGGUAAUACGGAGGAUCCGAGCGUUAUCCGGAUUUAUUGGGUUUAAAGGGAGCGUAGAUGGGUUGUUAAGUCAGUUGUGAAAGUUUGCGGCUCAACCGUAAAAUUGCAAUUGAUACUGGCGGUCUAGAGUACAGUAGAGGUAAGCGGAAGUCGUGGUGUAGCGGUGAAAUGCUUAGAUAUCACGAAGAACUCCGAUUGCGAAGGCAGCUUACUAGACUGCCACUGACACUGAUGCGCGAAAGCGUGGGGAUCGAACAGGAUUAGAUACCCGAGUAGUC
rnacentral:rRNA from 1 species